GUGGAGACCAACCAGCCACAUGUGCUGGGAAGCCACAAGAAAGGAGGAGGCCAAACACAGAAUAACUGCUCUGGCAGGUAUCCAUGCAUCUCUCUAAUGCCUCCCUGUCUUAUCUUCAUGUCUUCUUUCCAUAU